GUCAGGUCCCUGUGUCUCAGGUGAAGAUGCUCUCGCUGGGUCUGGCUCACCUGCUGGAAGAGGUGACUGAGAACGUGGAGCGACUGGAGCAGCACGGGCAAAUGAUGGGAAGAGAGAUGGACGGGGCAACAAAGCGUUUGGAGAGCCUUCGUAAGAAAAAUAUACAAGUGGGACGGACUCACAAACAGGUGAGGAAGGUCCUGCAGAGAUCGUCUGCCAGGAGGGACAGACAAUGGAGGACAGUCAGAGACCUGCAGAAGGAGUCGGAGGAUCUGGAGACUGAACAGGCAGCCAUGCAACGCCGCAUGAACCGGAUCCUCCAGAGUAUGAGGAGCCUGACUGAGGCAAGGUCAGGGGGUGGGGCUUGCACUGGCAUCAGCUCCAUGAAGGUUCUCGUUGAUAAACAGGCCCGACGACUUGCCAACCUGACCUCUGAGGUCUCUGCGUGGGAGAGAAUGAUUGACAGACGCCAGCAGUACAUCGAACAUCUGGAGAAACAGCUGUCUUCAGAUGCCUAAAAGCCUCCCAGCAGCGCAGAGGGUAGAGGUUCACCCAGCCUGUGACCGAUGAGCACAGCUGCAUCAACACUGUGACUCUGACCAACUUACAGGCUGAGACUGAUGCUGCAAAACUGACAAGGCAAACAGCUCUGACAGUCAGCCAUGUGAGACGUCAGUGCCUUUUUAAACGUGUGUGCCAUCUGCAUCUCACAAGGAUGUAUUUUUUUUUACAGCAUAAAGCAAAUAUUUUUACCCAAAACAUAAUAAAACAUCUCAAUUUCAAUAAACCUAAUGCAAAAAGCUGUUUGGAUUCCUCAUCUAGUAUUUAUAAAUCAAAAUCAUCUCACC
ensembl:lncRNA